GAUGAAGAACGCAGCGAAAUGCGAUAAGUAGUGUGAAUUGCAGAAUUCAGUGAAUGAUCGAAUCUUUGAACGCACAUUGCGCCCCUUGGUAUCCCGAGGGGCAUGCCUGUUCGAGCGUCAUUUCACCACUCAAGCCUGGCUUGGUGUUGGGCGACGUCCCCUUUAGGGACGCGCCUCGAAACGCUCGGCGGCGUGGCACCGGCUUUAAGCGUAGCAGAAUCUUUCGCUUUGGAAGUCGGGGCCCCGCCUGCCGGAAUACCUACUCGUAAGGUUGACCUCGGAUCAGGCAGGGAUACCCGCUGAACUUAAGCAUAUCAAUAAGCGGAGGA
rnacentral:misc_RNA from 1 species